UACGUAGGGUGCGAGCGUUAAUCGGAAUUACUGGGCGUAAAGCGUGCGCAGGCGGUCUUCCAAGUCAGUGGUGAAAGCCCGGAGCUCAACUCCGGAACUGCCAUUGAAACUGUGAGACUUGAGGAUGAGAGAGGUGAGUGGAAUUCCCAGUGUAGAGGUGAAAUUCGUAGAUAUUGGGAAGAACACCGGUGGCGAAGGCGGCUCACUGGCUCAUUUCUGACGCUCAGGCGCGACAGCGUGGGGAUCAAACAGG
rnacentral:rRNA from 1 species